rnacentral:lncRNA from 1 species
GUCUAUUCAAAGGUUUUGUUAGUUUUGAGGUGAAUACUGACACCUUUGUGCUUUAUAAAGAAUAUUUUCCAUAAAAAAUUGGAUGUGAAAUACCUGAACGUAUAAGAAGUCUGCAUGUUGAGCUAUAUUUACGAAGGAUGUCCUUAAAGCGAUGAUAAAAUUUAGUAAAUGUUUUGACUAGUUUGUGAUAUCGAAAACCCUGGUGUAAUAAUUUUUCAGUAAUACAUAAAUUUCGCUCGUUAAAAUCUAAAACAUUGUUACAUACACGAGCGAAUCGUACAAGUUGAGAUAUAUAAACACCGUAAGAUGGUGACAAGGGAACGUCACCA